GUAGUGUAAUCUCAGUCAAAUCUUGAAGACUCUUUGGAUGUCAGUCCCAUAUGCUCAAAUUCAAAGGCCCAAACAAAUUCCUUCACUAAUCAAAAGUACAUUGUAAAUAGAUGUGUGAUUGUCAAGUAUGGGGAAAUAUUCUAUCCAGGAGUUGUGAUAGAAGUCCUGGAUGAUCAGCGCAGAAAUAAUUUUUAAGCAAGGCACAGAAAUAAGAAAUAUAUUUGUAUAUCCAGAAGUGCAGGACAUACAGUUAGUGUAUGCAGACAUGAUUGUUACUGAAGUGAUGUUGAUACCAAAUGGCAAUAGUUUGAGAGUGGAAUGUUUUGAUUUCUGAAUUUGUCAAAUAAAAUUUGUGUACAGUUUUA